AUAUAAAUUAAUGUAAAAAGCAURAAGAAUUUUGAAUUCUUAAGAAAUAGUUUAAUUCUAUUAUUUAUAUA
rnacentral:tRNA from 1 species